rfam:Leucoagaricus sp. SymC.cos contig11174, whole genome shotgun sequence.
GGCGCUAUAGUGUAGUGGUUAUCACUCAGGAUUCUGAUUAUGAUCUUCCUGAAACCCAGGUUCGAGCCCUGGUAGCGCCU